rnacentral:rRNA from 1 species
UACGUAGGGGCCUAGCGUUGUCCGGAAUUAUUGGGCGUAAAGAGCUCGUAGGCGGUUUCGGCAAGUCGGAUGUGAAAAUCUCCACGCUUAACGUGGAGGGGGCCAUUUCGAAAACUGCUGUGACUCGAGUCCGGUAGGGGGAGUGUGGAAUUCCCGGUGUAGCGGGUGAAAUGCGCAGAUAUCGGGGAGGAACACCAGUAG